UCCUAAAGACUAAGCCAUGCAUGCCUUCGAAUAGGAGGAAGCAAUUCUCUCUGAAUCUGCGAACGGCUCCGCAAACCAGUUGUAAACUAGAGUGAGCUAGCUCAACGUGACCUUCGGGCUGCAGUAGGGCGAUAUGGAUACCCCUGGUAAUUCUGAGGCUAAUACAGGACCGCAAAACUUGGUCAACCGGGCUUCGGCCUGGAAGACUGAGGGAUGUGUGACCCUACGGCUUGGGUUUUAACCAGGAAGGGGUGCACUUUCAGGCCGCGUUACAAAGGAUCAGACCCCCCUCCCUCGGGAGGGGGGACUGGCCCCAGCGGCUCUUACUGUGUGCUUCUGACCUAUCAACUAGACGGCAGCUUAAAGGACAUGCUAUGGUUACAACGGGUACAGAGGAUUAGGGUUCGAUCCUGGAGAGUGGGCCUGAGAGAUUGCUCAUACUUCUAAGGAAGGCAGCAGGCGCGCAACGUUCCCCUUGGGCAAUGCCCGAGGGCGUUAGGGGACAUAUGAAUGCCUGCCCAUUGGGUGGGCAAUUCAAAUGGGUCUGUUCUAAACAGGCUCUCGAGUAACAAUUAGAGGACAAGUCUGGUGCCAGCACCCGCGGUAAUUCCAGCUCUAAUAGCAUACGUUAAAGUUGUUGCGGUUAAAACGCUCGUAGUCGGCUUUAGACCGUCAGAAGCCUGAUCAGGAAACCCAGGACCUGCACCUUCGGGAGCGCUGGGGGACUAGUGAUGGUGGGCGGCGGUCAAGUGUGCCUUGGGCUGUGUCUUCGGAUUCACAGGGUUAGGUCUACCUUCGGGUAGGCUUGGCUCGGCCUAAGGUACCACUUACCAUGACCAAACUGGAGUGAUCAAAGCAGGUCAUUUGAUCUCGUACAGCGCAGCAUGGCAUAAAACAGGCCAGCCUAGUCUUCCCAAGCAGGACUAGGUUGGCAGGAGCAAAAGGGGUGUUCGAGGGUGACCGAAUUGCCGGGCGAGUGGUGAAAUACGUUGACCCUGGCAAGUCGACCAAAGGCGAAAGCAGUCAUCAAGGGCACGCCCUUUGAUCAAGAGCGAAAGUUAAGGGUUCGAAGACGAUCAGAUACCGUCGUAGUCUUAACUAUAAAUGAUACUGGCCGGAGAUGGGAUAUUGUCCAUCUCGACUCUUCCUGGAUCUUGGAGAAAUCAGAGUCUCUGAGUUCUGGGGGGAGUAUGGUCGCAAGGCUGAAACUUAAAGGAAUUGACGGAAGGGCACACAAAGAGUGGAACCUGCGGCUUAAUUUGACUCAACACGGGAAAACUCACCAGGUCCAGAUACGCGCAUGAAGGACAAGCUGAAAGACUUUUCUCAAUGAUGUAAGUGGUGGUGCAUGGUCGUUCUUAGUUCGUGGAGUGAUUUGUCUGGUCUAUUCCGAUAACGAGCGAGACCCCGACGUUCCUAAUAGGGGUGACAGCCCGGCUUGCCUGGCCCGCAAGGGUUGGGCUCGCUAGCAGUCACCUUUAUCAAGCUUCUUAGACGUAUCAGAGCCGAUAAGGUUCUUGAAAUGGGAUAAUAACAGGUCAGUCAUGCCCUUAGAUGUUCUGGGCCGCACGCGCGUUACAAUGGCAUGCUAAGUGAGUGCUCAAAAGGGCGUUUCCACGGUCUAUAGGCCGUGGUAACCCCUAGUCCCUGCCUUGACUGGGAUAGAUUAUUGCAAAUAUUGGUCUUUAACGAGGAAUUUUUAGUAUUCGUAGGUCAUUAACCUGCGAAGAAUGAGUCCCUGCCCUUUGUACACACCGCCCGUCGCUGCUACCGAUUGGGUUUUGCGGUUACGAGUUCGGAGACUGUGGCUAUCGUCUGCCUUCGGGUAGGUGAGAACCGUGGUUAAAGUUCUAAUUACCGC
rnacentral:rRNA from 1 species